CGGAUCACUAUAGCAUAUAGCUGCCAUACAAGCUAAAGGAUCGAAAUCAAGUUCUUGUAAGGAAGCUUUGUAUUUGUGAAGGGUAUUAUAGCUUCGGUGCAAACGAAGUUAACAUUUUUUCUUCUUUAUUAUACAAAUUUCUUUUCGAAUACGUGAAAAUGUAUUGUUUUUUUUGUCAGUCCUGAUCAAAUUUGAUCAGUUCAAAGUUUUAUUUUACAUUUUACUUCACGAUGCAUCACACAUCGAUAGAGGCGGUGCGCACACGCUGUAGCGAUUUAACGGUUUUCCGCAUACUUUUCCAUUAAGCCAAGCCAAAUGAUCGUUGUGUGUAGCGAAACGUGUUUCUUGUGGACACACAUUCAAUGACUGAGGAAUUUUCGCAACAUAUUUUUGGUAUUGACCAUGGAACGGUAAUUGAUUGCACUGUGUGUAUACACGUGUGAAUAUGUAAAGAACGUUGUACGUACACAUUCCGCUACGAAAAACGUCGUGUGGGAAAAAUUAGUAAUGAACGCUGAAAAUGGACAAUAGGAGUUCAUUGAAUGUGUUGCUUUCUUCAAUUCUCAGAAAUGUAGGUAGAAAGUAAAUGGUUACAGCAUGGGAUAUGUGUUAGUGAUCCUUUAAACUGGAACGGCGUUAGAAUCUUAAGGAUUACCGCAAGCAGCACGUACUACCUGUUUUAACUCUGCUCUCUCAUAAACUCUAACGGCUUAUAAUUUUGGAAAAGCUGUAGCUUCUACAUGGCAAAAUCAGCAGAUUCUAAACUCAACUAUUAUUUCUCGCCAGACAUUUUAGCAUAUCUUUACUUAUAAUACUAUGUUGCAAUAGCGCUAAAAAUAGCAGCAAUAGUCACCCAAUGAAAGGGGUGAAAAAAUUGCAAAAAGUCAUGCAAGCAAAGCAAAAAAUCAUGAAAAAACAACGACAACAACCAAAGCGAUUUGAGCGCUAAGAAUAUUCUGCACAUGUGCAGAAGGGUCAACGACGUUUGCGCAUUGACAGCAUUAUACUUUUAAGCGUGUGGCAGCAUUAAAACAUAAAAUAUAGUAAACGGAGUGGAAUACUAGAAAAUCAACUUCCCUCUUUCUGAGCGGCCACCAGCUUGUUUCUUAAUGAUAAUUAUACCAACUAUGGAUCGGCGCUGUUAAGGUGCACCGUUUUUAAUAGUUUAAUUUUUCUUCUUCGAAUAACGCAAUAAGAAGACCUUCUAAAAAUAUAUCUAACUUGUAUUAUUAAAGUAGGGGAGCCAAGCAGCUAGUCAGCGCGCUGUGUUAACCGCAAAAAUGCCAGAUGGAAAAAAUGGAGACAAAUGCAAAGUGCACGCGAUAUAUUUAAUGAGUAACUUAUUAAGACUAAAAAGGGGGAAAAAACACAAAAAUAGCAUUAAAAAUAUAUCCGAAUUGCGGAACUGCUAAACAUGACUUCGAACUAUAGCUGCUAUUAAAAAGAUAGCAAUAAAAAUUAUAUUAAGGAAAUGUGAAAAAAAAACUAUUAAAGCGUCGUCUACAUAUCCAAUUUUUAUAGAUCACUUAAGGUAAACGGACUCUGGUGGAGUAUCAAAGCUAAUUAACAGUUUCGAAGCGUAAACGAAGCAUGCAAAAAUUAUUUAGUUUAUGGUAAUAUAAAUCCAUUAAUACCAGGCGGAUUACUAUUCGCGUCCACUUGCAUACAAACACAUAACUACAAACAUAUGUACGAGUACAUACGAGAGUGUUUAGGCCUAGUAUCAGAGUAUCAGACGAAUCGAAUUUAUGCACGCUUAUGGCAAACGGAAAAAGUACUGCAAAACACAAGUAAACAACUUUAGCAUUCCAAGAAGUCUAUUGCCUUUUUACAGCAGCAUCACCACCUCCAACAACAUCAACAACAACAACCGCCCCACCGAUAGGCACACGAAGUAAACAAGAAAUAAGAAAAAGUGUAGUUUGCGCGCGGCAGCUGCAGCAGCGGCUGCAACAACUCAACAGCAAUGCAACAACAACAACCACAUAGUGUGUGUGUGUGUCGUGCAUAAAGGAAUUCGUUCAUGGAAUCCAUGAAUUGUAUAAAUGUCCGCACCAUCGGCAUACCAACGGCGCAGGAGUGCGAUCAAAACAAGAAAAUCAAACAAACCAGUAGACAAAUGAUCAUCAAGAAGCUGUGUUGUUGGCAAACGCUGCGGCUGCGAAGGCAAUGACUGCAAGAUCGCCCAGCGAACGCAUGAUUCCGAUUAGUUCUACUAUAAAGCAUACUUUGCCGCGCGCAAAUCUAAAUGCCACACAUGCAUAAGCGCAUGCGUACGCAUUUACACACACACACACACACAUGCAGAUUUCAGCAUAUACGAUCAACAACAACAGCACAACAGUGCUUUCCUGUUAUGAUGCGCGCAUUGUUGUGCCUAUGUGAAAUGCGGUAUGCAGCGAAAUGCCCAUUUUGAAGGCGGAGUUCACAGGCAUUGCAAAUAACACGCCAUGAAAUUCCUUCCCACGAGGACUACUAUGUUUGUCUGGCUCUGCCGCAUAGGUAAGUUAUGCCGUCCAUGCAAUCCAUACAAAGUCUUGAUUAGUUCUUUUGUCUGUUUGUCUGUCUGGUUUGGUAUGCUACUUUUUUUUUUCGUUGCGGUCUGUUUUUGUUACUUUUAUAAAUGACUUUGAAAAAUGGGUUCAAGGAACGCUGAGGACUUAAUGCCUUUGAAGUAAGGAAUUCUUUGAACUCGAUGAAGGACACUGCAGCAGCCGCAGACAUAAACAAUGUAUGCACAUGCAUACAUAUGUGUGUGUAGUAGCUGCAUAUGUAUGUAUGUAUGUAUGUAUUUUCUUAUUAUUUGUUUUGGCGUUACCAUGACUUUGUUGUCGAAGAUGCAGCACAAAUUGGCGCCAAAAACGUGCUGUGUUGCUGGAUUGGUGAAUUAAAAAAACGUGUUGGGAAUGUUUUCAAGGAAUUGCUUCUUAACGUCAUGCCAUUUGUGUUUAUAUAAGGGAUUUGAUGCUCUUUUAGGAAAAUUAUGCGGUACUGCAACAACAUAUCAUGAUAUGCAAUGUGUAAGGAAUCAAGAAAAAGUUAAAACAAAAAAUUAAAAAUAAACCGGGUUCGAAAAUUAGAAGAAGCUGCAAGCUAAAUAAGGCUAGACUGGACAAGACUGACGUUGAGACUUUACGUCAACAUAACCUAUGUGAGAAAAGUUGAACAAAACAACAAAAAAGAACAAAAUACAACACAGCCAAGCUAUAAGCAAACGCACAAUGCAAAAUUAACGAUGUUGGGGCGUUGAACUAACCAAGCCUCAUUGCAGUUUGCAGUUUUCGUUCAAAAUAUUAGCACAAUUAACAAAAUAAUAAGAAUUGAUACAUUUUGAUCGCCGCCAAAACAAAACGGAGAUAUGCAAAAAUACUAGCCAAUCGAUCAGCUAGAGGGUAAAGUUAAACUAGCACGAUGACAAGACUCUGGCGGAGACUCGGCGAAAGAAAACCAACAUCAUUACUGGUUUGACUCGAACGCGCGGCACACUGGCUGUCUGUGGGUUGGGGCGAAGUCGUUGGACAAGAGGUGCAGUGAGCUUUGUCACGUAUGAACCGAAGCUAAAAGCAAGGGUUGGAGGUGGUGUCUUAUGUCUGGAGCUCUACGUCAACUCUAGCUACAUACUACCAGACCACUAGUAGUGUCUUUCAAGCGGAGGUGGCUGCCAUCCCUCCUGUGAGAGUUUGGCAAGCGCUAGUCAACAACCAGAACUUGCGCUGCUGUGCGGUGUGGUUAAAUAUUUAAUUAGACGCUUUUUGUCAAGUUUGUAUGGAGGAGGAGAUAAUUUACUUUUGCCAGACUGAGAUUGAAAUAUCUCGGUAGACACACCUUCUACGAACCUGGGAAGUGGCUGGGAUUGAUAUUAACCGCCUUAACAAAUUUUUGGUAACGCUUUGAGGAUCUGUUGAUCCAUUUUUAGGAGUUUUUGCGUAUCACAAGAACUAAAGCUGUCUAAAUAUGAUCCAUUGUUGUAGUAACCCUUGAGUUUUGCUUUUAAUAAACAAUUGUAAAUGAUUUUAA